CUUGUAAAGCAAUGGUUAACGUGUUGGACUUCUAAUCCGAAGGACGUGGCUUCGAAUUCCAUUUGAAAGG